UGAGGAAUAUUGGUCAAUGGCCGGGAGGCUGAACCAGCCAAGUCGCGUGAGGGAAGACGGCCCUACGGGUUGUAAACCUCUUUUGCCAGGGAGCAAGAGGCGGGUCGGGACCUGCUGUGAGAGUACCUGAAGAAAAAGCAUCGGCUAACUCCGUGCCAGCAGCCGCGGUAAUACGGAGGAUGCGAGCGUUAUCCGGAUUUACUGGGUGUAAAGGGUGCGCAGGCGGCCUGUUAAGUCAGCGGUAAAAGCCCGGGGCUCAACCCCGGCGAGCCGUUGAAACUGGCGGGCUGGAGUUGGAGAGAAGUACGCGGAAUGCGCGGUGUAGCGGUGAAAUGCUUAGAUAUCGCGCAGAACUCCGAUUGCGAAGGCAGCUCACUAGACUGCAACUGACACUGAUGCUCGAAAGUGUGGGUAUCAAACAGG
rnacentral:rRNA from 1 species